UACGUAGGGGGCAAGCGUUGUCCGGAAUCAUUGGGCGUAAAGCGCGUGUAGGCGGCCUUGUAAGUCCGCUCUGAAAGUCCGGGGCUCAACCCCGGGAGGCGGAUGGAUACUGCAAGGCUCGAGUACGGAAGAGGCGAGUGGAAUUCCCGGUGUAGCGGUGAAAUGCGCAGAUAUCGGGAGGAACACCAAUGGCGAAGGCAGCUCGCUGGGACGUUACUGACGCUGAGGCGCGAAAGCGUGGGGAGCAAACAGGGAU
rnacentral:rRNA from 1 species